rnacentral:tRNA from 1 species
AGUAAAAUGCCUGAUAAAAGGGUUAUCUUGAUAGGAUAAAUAAUGUAAUUUUAUUACUUUUACUA